AGGAGAGCAGGACAGCCGCGCCCCUCUUUCUGACACGUGAGGACGUGGGACAGGAAGGUGGGCCUCUGUGAGCCAGGAGAGCCCUCACUGGGAACCCAACUGGCCAGCACUUUCCUCUUGGGCUUCUCAACGUCAAACAGUGAAACAGGGAUCCCUGUCACUUCACCCACCGACUGUGGCACUCUGUUACGGCUCCUGCACAGACUAACAGAGACACCAGCGUGUGAACCAGAAAGACGGAGGUGAGCAACAAGAGCACAUGACUCCUGAGGAGGCAGACAGACAAUAAUAAUGGAGAGCGAACGUGUGAAGGAAGCAGAGAGUCUCCUAUGUCCUUGGUAGAUGAUGGCAAGCCCUUGUGGGAGGAUGGUGUUGUGCUACCCCGUCAUAUUUUUUCAUUUUACUUGUGACUGAGAAAAUCCGCUCGCUUCCAGAGAGCCCUGGACCUGACCAUGAGGCAGCGGACCUUGCCUACUGAGCAAUGGACAGAACACGAGGAGGAUCAUUUCUACCUUGAACCAUAUGUAAAGAGGUUAUUCGAGAAAGAAGAGAGAGAAGAGUGGGCAAAGAAGUAACUAGGUUGCAAUCGUGGAUGUGGUUGUUUUUAAAGAUUUUUAUGAAGUUGGGGUCGAACCUGAAAAAUUUAAUUUAAAAAUAAUUUGGU